rnacentral:lncRNA from 1 species
GCUCACACACAGAUUGCUAGGUCUACUUCCUUCCUCAUCCUUCCCCGAUCACCACACACAACCGUCGCCAUGGUUGGAGAAAGAAAAGCUCAGAUGUGUUGUUGUCUUGUGAUGUCUCCAUAGAUCUUCUUCCUCCCAUUUCUUCCUUCCAACCUCCUUCUCCUCUGAUCGCCCAAAUUUCUGCAGGCACCAGAAGAAAUGGUUGAAACUUCAGAUCCUACCCAAAACACAGAUCUAUCAAAAGGAAAAGCAAAAGGAAGAAAGAAGAAACCUGCAAACCAAGGUGCGGUGCCUGUGAUCUGUCCCCCCUCCCCUCUUAAUUUUUUCUGUGUCGUGCAACUUACGUGAUGACCUGACAUUUUCAUGUAACAACAACAGUAAAUUUAGAGAAGGAAGCAAGAAUGCAAAAAAUGAGUGUUUCAUAUAAAAUAUUAAACCCAUGCAAAAUCAUGUAGAUGGCAUGCUAUAACUUCUGAAUCUUGCUAUAACUUCUGAUUAGAUGACAUGUUUGUAUUGUACUAGAACUUGUUAAACUACAAGUAGUGUUUAACAAGUAAUGGCAGAAAACCUCCCUAAAGGCAGAAUAAACAAAUUCCAUAUAGUAACUACAUUUGCAUAUUCAGACAAGUAAGCUUGCAGUUGUUGUGAAAUGGGAAGAUGAAAGAAACUAUACUAUGAGAAUGCAUGCAUAUAUAAAAAAAUAUAACCACCACAUAUUUAGCUUGUUGUACUAGAAAAUGUUUAACACCAAGUAAAAGCAUAACACCUACCUGAAGGCGGAAAUUCAGAAAAUCCUCAUAUAAACUAAAUUUGCAUAUUCAGAGAAGUAAGCUUGCAGUUGUUGUCUAAUAGCAACAUACAAGAACUGUACUAAGAGCAUGCAUACAUAUUUAUAGAAAAGAUAACCACAACAUGUUUACCUGGUUGUACUAGAGAAAUGUUUACCUACAAGUAAUGGCAGAACAACUCCCCUAAUGGCACCAAUUAAAAAAACAUAUAUAAACUAAAUUUGCAUAUUCAGAGAAAUAAAGUUGCACUUCUUGACAAAUAGAAACAUACAAGAAAUAUUACUACGAGCAUGCAUGCAUAUUCACAGAAAAGAUAACCACGACAUCUACACCUGGUUGUGCAAAAGUAGUUGUUAAACUACAAGUAAAUGCAGAACACCUCCCUCAAGGGAGAAAUUACACAAGUUCAUAUAGGAACUAAAUUUGCAUAGUCACAAAACUAAACUUGCACUAAUUGUCGAAUAGCAACAUACAAGAACUAUUUCUACGAGCAUUUACAGAAAGAUAAUUACAACACCUACAGUGGGUACCUCCAUAAAGGUAGAAUUUAGAAAUUCCAUCUAGGAACUAAAUUUGCACAUUCAGACAACUAAACUUGCAGUCGUCAUCAAGAGCAACAAAAGUACUUAGAGAUAACCAUAACAAGUAGAUCUAGUUAUGAAAGUAGUUGGUAAACUACAAGGAAGGCAUAAUGCCUACUUACAAGCUUAAUUUAAAAUUUGUGCAGAUGGAUAACCGUACUUGCGCUUGUUGUUCAAGAGCAACAUAUAAUAGUAGAAGUUGCAACAUAUAAUACAACAGAGGUGAAGCACCAAACCUUCAACAACAUAUUCACAUAACUGAGUUGCAUGUUCAGAUAACCAAAAACUUUUUUUAAACGAGGCAAAAGAUUUGCCAUUUUCAUUGAUUAAGAGGAAGAGAGAUGCCCAGUUAAUUAGAGGAAAACCGGGCAAAAACCUAGAUUACAAACCCCACAUGGGGCACAUGCGGACGACCUGGCUAGCCAAAGAAGCCAAACAAUCGACCGCAGACGUCGAGGACCGACAUCUCCGAUUUUGCUAUUGCGCAUCACAGGAGAAAGUUUAAUCAUGAUGCAAAAACUUUAGACAUGCAUCUUCUAGCAAGCAAAUAGCAAGUUGUUUUCCAUAAUUAAGGAACAAGUUCAUGAUUGAAACUGAUUUUGCAUUUUCAGGCAAGUAAAAUUGCAGCAAAUGUUCAAGAGCAAGAACAAUAUGAGAAUGCAGAUAGACGAGAAGACAACAAGGUAAGGACACGUAUCUAAAGUUUUACUAUUACACUUAUUUCUUCCUAAUCUGACAUUUUCAAAACAUGUACAAUACAAAAUAUUUGAUAUGAAAUUUUUUUAGGUGCUGAAUCCAGAUCAAGGGAAUGAACAUGCAACAUAUGAGGUUAGUUUACAUUCUUUUCGAAUUUAUGAUGAUAACAAAGGAAUCAAAAAGAACUAACCUCUGGAUGAAGCUUGCAUUACAGGAGGCAGUGCUUGCACAAAGCUAUGCGGGACAAGAAGGUCAAUAUUACACCACAAAACAAAAGGAAUUAAGUAAAUAGGUGAAAUAUAACACUAUAUAAUAUUGCAUAAAAAAUGUAUGCACAUUUUUACAUGUACCUAAAGAACUUGAUAUCUGAUUUAUAUUUUGCAGGAAUUAGUUGAAGUUCAGUUUGGGAAGCAAAAUUUCCAAAUGAUUAAUGAGCUGCUAGCACCAGAAGGAGCCACAUAAUCUUACACAGAACUCAUGCAACAAAUGACUGAGGAGUCAUCUUCAAAGUGACAACAUGGCAAUCCCUAUAACUUGUUUCACUUCACUCUUACAUGCAAGAAUAAAUGCUGAGGUAUGCGUUAUUACUAAAACCUAUAUUCAAAGUUUUGAAAGAAGUUCAUUAGUACAGUAGCAGUACCUAAAAAUAAAUUAACUUGCAGGAUCAACAUCUCAUGACAGAAGAAAUAACAAGGAACCAUUUGGAACAACAUGUCGACUGGGACCAAUAUUCAAUACUCAAGUAGAAGAAGAAGAUGAAGUUGAAGAUGAAGACGAAGAUGAAGAUGAAGCAAAUGAGUGUACUUUUGAAUGUAGCAAUGAUCCAAAUCAAUCUGAUUUAGAGGAAGAUUACCUAGAACAAAAUACAAUAAGUUGUCAUCAGUUGCCUGCAGAUAAUGGGGAUUCAUGAUUGCAC